rnacentral:rRNA from 1 species
UUCAUGGAGAGUUUGAUCCUGGCUCAGGACGAACGCUGGCGGCGUGCCUAAUACAUGCAAGUCGAGCGGACAGAUGGGAGCUUGCUCCCUGAUGUUAGCGGCGGACGGGUGAGUAACACGUGGGUAACCUGCCUGUAAGACUGGGAUAACUCCGGGAAACCGGGGCUAAUACCGGAUGCUUGAUUGAACCGCAUGGUUCAAUUAUAAAAGGUGGCUUUUAGCUACCA